rnacentral:rRNA from 1 species
GAUGAACGCUGGCGGCGUGCUUAACACAUGCAAGUCGAACGGAAAGGCUCCUGCUUGCAGGGGUACUCGAGUGGCGAACGGGUGAGUAACACGUGGGUGAUCUGCCCUGCACUUCGGGAUAAGCCUGGGAAACUGGGUCUAAUACCGGAUAGGACGAUGGUUUGGAUGCCAUUGUGGAAAGUUUUUUCGGUGUGGGAUGAGCUCGCGGCCUAUCAGCUUGUUGGUGGGGUAAUGGCCUACCAAGGCGUCGACGGGUAGCCGGCCUGAGAGGGUGUACGGCCACAUUGGGACUGAGAUACGGCCCAGACUCCUACGGGAGGCAGCAGUGGGGAAUAUUGCACAAUGGGCGCAAGCCUGAUGCAGCGACGCCGCGUGGGGGAUGACGGCCUUCGGGUUGUAAACUGCUUUCGCUAGGGACGAAGCGAAAGUGACGGUACCUGGAGAAGAAGCACCGGCUAACUACGUG